rnacentral:rRNA from 1 species
UGCCCUAGUAACGGCGAGUGAAGCGGCAACAGCUCAAAUUUGAAAUCUGGCUUCGGCCCGAGUUGUAAUUUGUAGAGGAUGCUUUUGGCGCGGUGCCUUCUGAGUUCCCUGGAACGGGACGCCAUAGAGGGUGAGAGCCCCGUAUAGUUGGACACCAAGCCUCUGUAAAGCUCCUUCGACGAGUCGAGUAGUUUGGGAAUGCUGCUCAAAAUGGGAGGUAAAUUUCUUCUAAAGCUAAAUACCGGCCAGAGACCGAUAGCGCACAAGUAGAGUGAUCGAAAGAUGAAAAGCACUUUGAAAAGAGGGUUAAAUAGCACGUGAAAUUGUUGAAAGGGAAGCGCUUAUGACCAGACUUGUUCCCGGUUGAUCAUCCAGUGUUCUCACUGGUGCACUCUGCCGGGAUCAGGCCAGCGUCGGUUCUCGUAGGGGGAUAAAAGCUUCGGGAACGUGGCUCCUCCGGGAGUGUUAUAGCCCGUUGCAUAAUACCCUUAUGGGGACCGAGGUUCGCGCUCUGCAAGGACGCUGGCGUAAUGGUCAUCAGCGACCCGUCUUGAAACACGGACCAAGGAGUCGAGGUUUUGCGCGAGUGUUUGGGUGUAAAACCCGCACGCGUAAUGAAAGUGAACGUAGGUGAGAGCUUCGGCGCAUCAUCGACCGAUCCUGAUGUAUUCGGAUGGAUUUGAGUAAGAGCGUAUAGCCUCGGACCCGAAAGAUGGUGAACUAUGCCUGUAUAGGGUGAAGCCAGAGGAAACUCUGGUGGAGGCUCGCAGCGGUUCUGACGUGCAAAUCGAUCGUCAAAUAUGGGCAUGGGGCGAAAGACUAAUCGAC